rnacentral:rRNA from 1 species
GAUCCUGGCUCAGGACGAACGCUGGCGGCGUGCCUAAUACAUGCAAGUAGAACGCUGAAGGAGGAGCUUGCUUCUCCGGAUGAGUUGCGAACGGGUGAGUAACGCGUAGGUAACCUGCCUGGUAGCGGGGGAUAACUAUUGGAAACGAUAGCUAAUACCGCAUAAUAGCAGUUGUUGCAUGACAACUGUUUAAAAGGUGCAAUUGCAUCACUACCAGAUGGACCUGCGUUGUAUUAG